rnacentral:rRNA from 1 species
UACAGAGGGUGCGAGCGUUGUUCGGAAUUAUUGGGCGUAAAGCGCACGUAGGCGGCUUCUUAAGUCAGGGGUGAAAUCCUGGAGCUCAACUCCAGAACUGCCUUUGAUACUGAGAAGCUUGAGUCCGGGAGAGGUGAGUGGAACUGCGAGUGUAGAGGUGAAAUUCGUAGAUAUUCGCAAGAACACCAGUGGCGAAGGCGGCUCACUGGCCCGGUACUGACGCUGAGGUGCGAAAGCGUGGGGAGCAAACAGG